rnacentral:rRNA from 1 species
AGCGAACGUUUGCGGCGGGCUUAACACAUGCAAGUCGAACGGGCUGUUCCUUCGGGAGCAGUCAGUGGCGCACGGGUGCGUAACACGUAGGUAAUCAACCCUCUGGUUGGGGAUAACACUUCGAAAGGAGUGCUAAUACCCGGUAUGGCGCAGCGGUCUUCGGAUCGCGGCGAGAAAGACCCGCAAGGGUUGCCAGAGGACGAGCCUGCGGCCCAUCAGCUAGUUGGCGAGGUAACGGCUCACCAAGGCGAAGACGGGUAGCUGGUCUGAGAGGAUGAUCAGCCACACUGGAACUGAGACACGGUCCAGACUCCUACGGGAGGCAGCAGUGGGGAAUAUUGCGCAAUGGGCGAAAGCCUGACGCAGCCACGCCGCGUGAGCGAUGAAGGCCUUCG